UUGCCUCAGUAACGGCGAGUGAAGCGGCAAAAGCUCAAAUUUGAAAUCUAGCACUUUCAGUGUUCGAGUUGUAAUUUGAAGAAGGUAACUUUGGUUUUGGCUCUUGUCUAUGUUCCUUGGAACAGGACGUCACAGAGGGUGAGAAUCCCGUGCGAUGAGAUGCCCAAUUCCAUGUAAAGUGCUUUCGAAGAGUCGAGUUGUUUGGGAAUGCAGCUCUAAGUGGGUGGUAAAUUCCAUCUAAAGCUAAAUAUUGGCGAGAGACCGAUAGCGAACAAGUACAGUGAUGGAAAGAUGAAAAGAACUUUGAAAAGAGAGUGAAAAAGUACGUGAAAUUGUUGAAAGGGAAGGGCUUGAGAUCAGACUUGGUAUUUUGCGUUCCCUUCCUUUUUGGUUGGGUUCCUCGCAGUUUACUGGGCCAGCAUCGGUUUGGAUGGUAGGAUAAUGACAUUGGAAUGUAGCUUUACUUCGGUGAAGUGUUAUAGACUUUGUUGAUACUGCCUAUCUAGACCGAGGACUGCGUCUUUGACUAGGAUGCUGGCGUAAUGAUCUUAAGCCGCCCGUCUUGAAACACGGACCAAGGAGUCUAACGUCUAUGCAAGUGUUUGGGUGUAAAACCCGUACGCGUAAUGAAAGUGAACGUAGGUGAGAGCCUUUUAGGUGCAUCAUCGACCGAUCCUGAUGUCUUCGGAUGGAUUUGAGUAAGAGCAUAGCUGUUGGGACCCGAAAGAUGGUGAACUAUGCCUGAAUAGGGUGAAGCCAGAGGAAACUCUGGUGGAGGCUCGUAGCGGUUCUGACGUGCAAAUCGAUCGUCGAAUUUGGGUAUAGGGGCGAAAGACUAAUCGAACCAUCUAGUA
rnacentral:rRNA from 1 species